AGCACCAGCAGUUAGCUUAUUGUCUCACCAGCGCCAGCCAAGUAUCUGAACUGCACCCCCUCACUACUCGCCUGACCUAACUGUGGUAGUUUGAAUGUAAUUGGCCCCCAUAAUCUCAUAGGGAAUGGCACUAUUAGGAGGUGUGGCUUUGUUGGAGGAAGUGUGUCACUGUGGGGACUGGCUUUGAAGUUUCCUAUGCUCAGGAUACUGCCCAGAGUCUCACCAACUUCCUGUUGCCUAUAGGAUAUAGGACUCAGCUCCUACUCCAGCACUAUGUCUACCUGAAGGCCGUCAUGCUCCCCGCCAUGAUGAUAAUGGACUGAACCUUUGAAACUCAUCUCUGACUCUGAACCUGUGAGAUUAAGUCAUCUUCCUUCUUCAGUCUCCAAAAUAGUUUGUAGUUCAAGAUGUGAGCUCUCAGCAGCUAGUCCAGCUACCUGACGCCUGCUACCACCCCACACCAUCGUGGACCAUUAUCCCUCCGCAACCUUAAGCCCCAAAUAGACCUUUCUUCUCUAAGUUGCUUUGGUCAUGGUGUUUCAGCACAGCAAUACAAAAGUAGCGAAUAUAGUAGGUCGGACUGUCAGUGUGAUGAGAACAGGAGACAGAAUCUGGCCAGGCUGUUGCAGGGAGUUCUGGGGAAAGAUCAGCUCUGCCUCUUGUCCUUGACAAUCAGCUCUGUCUUGGCCAGAAGCCUGGAAUGUUCUUGCUUCUGUGAGAAGUUUAACCCUAGUCACAGGCCGGGAAUACCAACAAUGUUUCAAGGCAGUGUUUUGUGUUCUGGUUUCUUGUGAUUAUCUUCUUUCUCUUUUUACACUGUAACUUAAGGAGCACAGCUGCCUGGAAGGUCCAUGUGAUCAGAUCUCCAUUAGCCCCUGAAGCUGUGCGCCAGACUCUAGCCAGACACAGGGAUGGUGAGGCAUGUGAACACGUCUGCGUGGGUCAACUGUAAUAAAGUUUAUUUUUAUGUGUGGUCAAUGUAAUAAAAUUUUAAGUUCUAACUUGGUGGCAGAAAACUGGACAGUGUUUUCCAGGGGAGAAAGGGGAAGUGGGGAGG